rnacentral:snRNA from 11 species
AUACUUACCUGGACGGGGUCUAUGGGCGAUCGUGCAGACCCAUGGCCUAGGCUAGUGACCUCCAUUGCACUCUGGAGGUGCACGCGCCUAAGAUCUGCCCAAGUGGCGGAGUCUACGUCAUAAUUUGUGGUAGAGGGGGUUCGCGUGCGCGCGACCCCUAC